rnacentral:rRNA from 1 species
GACGAACGCUGGCGGCGUGCUUAACACAUGCAAGUCGAACGGGAUCCGGGCUUUCGGGUUUGGUGAGAGUGGCGAACGGGUGAGUAACACGUGAGUAACCUGCCCCCUUCUUUGGGAUAACGUCGGGAAAUCGGCGCUAAUACUGGAUAUUCUUGCUGCAUCGCAUGGUGUGGUUUGGAAAGGGUUUCUGGUGGGGGAUGGGCUCGCGGCCUAUCAGCUUGUUGGUGGGGUGAUGGCCUACCAAGGCUUUGACGGGUAGCCGGCCUGAGAGGGUGUCCGGCCACACUGGGACUGAGACACGGCCCAGACUCCUACGGGAGGCAGCAGUGGGGAAUAGUGCACAAUGGGCGCAAGCCUGAUGCAGCGACGCCGCGUGAGGGAUGACGGCCUUCGGGUUGUAAACCUCUUUCAGUAUGGAACAAGGAUCCUUCUUGUGGGGGGUUUGAGGGUACGUGCAGAAGAAGCGCCGGCUAACUACGUG